CGUUCAGCAAACAGUUGUCGGUUAUUUUGCAGCGCUGAGGUUAUCUAUGAUUCUAUCUUUUGGAGAUCGAGAUGACAGAUUCUACUGAUCUAGCUUCAAAUACUAGAAGCAAAGACAACGAUCAACAAAAAAAUUUUAAUCCCAAAAAUCAAUGAGCAUAGUCUUAUUUUAUAAAACUCGACAUCAACACUCUGUGACUACAAACAAGUGGCAGCAAAAAAAAGAUGAUAAUUGUGUAAACUAACAUGUCUAAUAGUUCUCUACAUACUUUCGCCCAGAUGCGAAUUUGGCAGUUUCAAGAUGAAAAAAAAGACAGUGAAAUUAUCUGGAAGUUCCUGAUCUUCAUGCAUUCUGUUGAGCUGAUUUUGGUUGCAGAUAGCAGAGAAUUACGUCCGCCGAGUAAUUGAAAGAAUUGUCUGCUGGUCUGAAUAUUUCUCGGCGUGGUGAGUGACUAUCUGCAUAUUUUUUUUUUAUCGAUUUAUAUUGAUUUUUAUUGAUUUCUUUUGACUCGAGUUGAACUUCUGGGUGCUUAUUUAUUCUAAAACGAGUUCAAUUUUAAAUUUAUUUUAUGAAAACUCGAUCCCUCAGCAAAAUCAUGGGCACAGUUACGAUUUAAAUAUACCGAAAGACCUUAGAAUUUUUUAAUAGGCAGGAAAACAGAGCUUUAGAAUAUUUUGUAGGCAGGAAUAAUUCGGUAUUUAUUUUUGUUAUAAAUCUGGUAGAACUCGUUAUGAAAAAUCGACAUACAGCUAUCUGACUUGCGGUUUUUACAGUAAACUUCCAUCGAAAGAUUUUUUUGAGCUAUCAGGCUCAUAUCACGAAUUCCAAUUUUAAUUAGUGUACUUUUGGCUAUAUAUGUCCUUAAUACAAAAAAUAGAUACAUAUUUACAUCAUUAACGAGAGUUACAUUACCUGUGAAUAUGGCAGAAAUUCAUAUCAGCUGGUCCGUUACCGCAGUUUGAGUUCAGAUCAUUGAAAAAAUUUCUGUUGCUCAUUGUAUAUAAAUUGAAUGAGUCUAGAGGAGUGAAAUUAUUUGUAAAUAUUUAAUAAAGACGAAGAUAAUGCAUUUUGACACUCAAUCCUGAAUUGUCGGAGCUACAGAAUAUCUUUAAGGUGAGAAACUUCAAGUUUUAACAUUUAUAAAAAGCUUCGAAGUUCAUAAUAUUAUCAUUGUCUUCGUGGUCAUGCUAAUCUGAAAAAAGUAAAAAAAAAAGUGUAUGGUGCUCUUUAUUAAAUCUUUUGAUAAACUUUCAGUCGUUGCAAAGAAUUCAAUCUGUUGGCUGUGUAAAUAUUAGAGUGGGCUGUUAAAUAUGAUAAAUAAGAGCAGAGAUUUUAUUCAAUGUACAUAAAAUACAUCCUGAGUCGCUGUUUCCGGUUGCUGGAAGUAGAAAAAUACGUCCGCCGAGGUGAAUUAUUUUAAUUAUCAAUGAAAUUAAUUAAUUUACAUAAAAAUAUAUAUUCUAGUUGAUCAAGAAAUUUAUUAAUCGAGUUGAUAUUUUUUUUUUUUUUACAGAAAUUGAAAGAAUUGUCUGCUGCUCUGGAUGUUUCUCGGCGUGGUGAGUGAUUUUGAG